GCAGAGGGACUCUUGUGGACUUGAAGAGGUUGAAGAGACCUGCAGGGCAUCCAGUGACUGCACCAAUUUACACUCCCACCAACAGUGUACGAAGUUUCCCUUUUCUUCAUAUCCUUGCCGCAUUUGUCAUUCGUGUUCUUUUUGAUGAUUGCCAUUCAUCAUUCAUCCAGGUGCAUGUAUCUUUUUGAAUUAUAGUUUUCUCCAGAUAUACGCCCAGGAGUGGGAUUACCGGAUCAUAUGGAGAAUUAGAAGAAGAAUGACAAACCAAGCCCAAAGUCAGCAGAGGAAGGAAAUAAAUAAAUAUCAGAGAGAAAAUAAAAUAGAGAUAAAAAAUUAAAAAAAAAAUCAAUAAAACCAAGUAUUGGUUUUUUGAAAAGAUAAACAAAAUUGAUAAACCUUUUCCUGGGCUCACCAAAAAAUGGACCCAAAUAAACAAAAUAAGAAAUGAAAGAGGAAGAAUAACGACUGAUACCAAAAACAUACAAAAAAUAAGAUAAUACUUAAAUAGUUAUACGCCAAAAAAUUGGACAACAUAGAAGAAAUGGACAAGUUUCUAGAAACAGAGCCUGUCAAGAGAGAAUCAAGAAGAAAUAGACAAUUUGAACAGACCAAUCACUAGAAGUGAAAUUGAAUCUGUAAUAAGUAGCUGCCAGCAAACAUAAGUCUAACACUGGAUGGCUUCACUGGGGAAUUCUACCAAACAUAUAAAGAAGAGAUUAUUCAUAUCCUUCUCAAACUACUUCAAAAAACUGAAGAGAGGGGAACACUCCCAAAUUCAUUCUGUGAGGCCACAAUUACCUUAAUACCAAAACCAGACAAAGAUGCUAUAAAAAAGAAAAUCACAGACCAAUCUCUUUGAUGAAUACAGAUACAAAAAUCCUCAACGAAAUAUUAGCAAACAGAAUCCAACAGUACAUAACAAGGAUCAAGUUGAAUUCAUUCCAGGGUUACAAGGAUAGUUCAACAUACACAAAUCCAUCAAUGUGAUACAUCACAUUAACUUAAGGAAAGACAAAAACCACACAAUCAUCUAAGUAGACACAGAAAAAGCAUUUGACAAAAUUCAAUAUCCAGUCAUAACAAAAACUCUCCUCAAAGUUGAUAUAGAGGGAACAUAUUGCAACAUAAUAAAGGCCAUUUACAACAAACCCACAGACUAGAUAAUACUUUAUGGUGAAAAGCUGAAAGACUUCUUGCUAAAUUCACUAACAAGACAAGGAUGCUCACUCUCACCAAUUCUCUUUAAGAAGGUAUUUAAAUCAUAGUCACAUCAAUCAAACAAGAAAAAGAAACAUAUCAAAAUUGAAAGAGAAACAGUAAAAUUGUCACUAUUUGCAUAUGAUAUAUACUCUAUAUAAAGAUCCCUAAAGUCUCCACCCAAAAACUAUUAAAAUAAAUGAAGCCAGGAAGAUUUCAGGAUACAAGAUUAAUAUACAGAAAUCUGUUGCAUUUUUAUAUACUAAUAAUGAAAUAUAGAGAAAGAAAUUAAAAAAACAAUCCUGUUUAAAGUCCCAUCAAAAAAUAUCUAGGAAUGAACUUAACCAAGGAGAUUCAAAGACCCUUAUUCUGAAUGUGAUGAAACAUUGAUGAAGGAAAUUAAAGAUGAUUCAAAGAAAUGGAAAGUUAUCCUGUGCCCUGGGAUUGGAACAAUAAUUAAUUUUGUUAAAAUGGCCAUACCACCCAAAGAAAUCUACAGAUUUAAUACAAUCCCUCUCAAAACAGUCAUGGCAUUUUUAUAGAACUGUAGCAAAUAACUCUAAAAUUUAUAUGGAACCACAAAAGACCCAGAAUUGCCAAAGCAAUCCUGAGGAAAAAGAACAAAACUUGGUGCAUAACUCCUCCAUACUUCAGACUAUACUGCAAAGCUACAGUAAGCAAGAAGUUUCUGCUUAUGGUGCAGUGGGUUAAGAAUCUGAAUGCAGAAGUUCCAACUGUUGCACAGGUGCAGGUUCGAUCCCUUGCCCAGUGCAGUGGGUUGGAGGAUCCAGUGUUGCAACAGCUGUGGCUGGGGCUCUGAUUCAAUCCCUGGCACUAGAAUUUAAAAUAAAAAUUUAAAUUUAUUUUAAAGUAAAAAUUUAUGUAAAAAUAAAUUUAUAAUUUUUACAAAAAAUUAUUUAAAAACAAAAAAAAAUUUAAAAAAAGCUACAGCAAUCUGAACUGGAUGGUAUUGGCACAAAAACAGACUUGUGGAUCAAUGAACAGAAUAGAGAGUCCAGAAAUAAACCCACAUACCUAUGGUCAAUUAAUCUUUGACAAAGGAGGCAAGAAAUUACAAUGGAAAAAAGAUAAUCUCUUCAACAAGUGAUGUUGGGAGAGCUGGAGAGCUGCAUGUAAAACAAUGAGUUUAGAACAUUCCCUCACACCAUCUACAAAAAUAAAGUCAAAGUGAUUUAAAGACCUAAAUGUAUAACAUGAAACCAUAAAAUUCUUAAAAGAGAAUAGAGAGGGAAUGCUCUUUGACAUAAAUUGUAGCAAUAUUUCUUGAAAAAAGUCUUUUCGAAUGAAAAUAAUAGUGCUUUGAUUUUAAAAUAUAUCUACACAUAUGACUAUUAGAUGACUAAAUGAACCCUGUUUUAUUAUUUUAAGUAUAAUAACGCUUCUUGGAUUUAAUGAUCUAGACUGCUAGACUUUACCACAACAUUUAAGAUCUAAACAUGAACACAACAGAGUAAUAACCUCAUUCCAGCAGAGGAAAUUCCUCCACGUGUUAAACUUGGGUAACAAAUGUUGGAAUUUUAAUUCCUUCUAGAAGCACCUUCUAGUUGGCAUCUGAGGCCAUCCAUAGUUAUGAGAAUUAUUUUAAAAUUUCAUUCAAAAUAAGCUAUGCAAAAAGGUGGUGGUUUUCCUCUUCAGUGGGUCCUCAUUUUUACAAUGUUCAAACUGCAUGUUUUAUUGAAUAUAGUUCCUAUAAGAAGAAUAAUAUCAUAAUCUUAUUGAAUACCCUUAGGACAUCACUAAAAAUGAAGCUAAUUUGCAUUGGCAGUUAGAUUUUGUUGUAUUUUAAUACAGCUCUAAUGCAAUAAUAUUCCUUUACUAGUGACUUUUUUUAAAUACAUUUUUUUCUUAUUGACAAUUAUACACCCAAGUCUUAUGAAAUUACCUUGAGGAGUUCCAGUUGUCCAUAUGGGAAUGGUAAUUAGGUUUAUUAAUCGGCAAUAUUAUUGUAACAAGUCUCUGUGCAUUAGGUGAAUUUUAAUAAAAAUAAGGUUAGACCUUUCCUUUGCCAGAUUUUAACAAAUUCCAAAGUGAGUUAGGGUUUCUUUUGUACAGAAUCAUUAAGAGCAUCAUCCUUCCUUCUUGCUUAUACCCGAAUAGAAAACAGCAACAUCAAGGAACUUCAAUCCUGCUUGCACGGUUUUCUUUCCUUUUAGAUCUUCUGCUUACAACAUCAACGACAGACAUAUCAGAAGCAUGUGUGGCCACUGCAAGGGUCUCACAGCUGUCCAGUCACACUUCAGUCCUCCACAGGGCAGGGUAAUAUAUCUCAAGUUUGAGCAAAAUAUUAGAGUAGAAAAUCACUCAGUUAAUUUACUAUUUUUUUUGUGCUGAAUUCGUACAUGUGAAGAGGAAAAUGGCGUCUGGGUGACCGGUAGUCUCAACUCUCUUAUCAGGAUUACAUCCUGCACAUGGCUGGUAAUCCGACAACCGGGGCACAUCAGCAAGUCUUAGAGCACUGGGUGCCACAGGGAUGGAAGGCAUCUAAGUAAACAUUUGUUCUGUGGAACAUGGUGUAAUAUUCUGAUGACAUUGGAGAGACCAGCCUUAUUCUCUGAGCAGUAGCAAGCCUUAUUUUGCAUUCCCAGAUGCAGGGUUCUUGAUGACCAGCUGAAAAUAACAAUAACUUCAUCCAGUGAGUGUGAACAAUAGUAGAAACUAUAGUUUUUAUUGUUUUAUCUGUAGAAGAUAGAUUUCACCUCGAAUAGAUACUCUUUUGAAAUUAGGUUGUGAUGAUGAUGUACAACUGUAAAUAUAAUAAAAUUCAUU
rnacentral:lncRNA from 1 species